rnacentral:tRNA from 1 species
UAGCUCAGUCAGUUGAGCGUGGCGCUAACAACGUCAAGGUCACGGGUUCGAUUCUCGU